rnacentral:lncRNA from 1 species
ACAAGACAUUUAAUAAGGUCAGCAGCCAUGGUGAUGGGCAAGGCAUUUAUUUGAGAGGCAGGUAAGGUUGUUGAUUUUGCCUUUACUUGGACUUAUCCUUCAUGUACACAGUGUAGUGAAAGGAACUCUGACUAAAGGUUAAGCAGCAGUGGACUUGCAUAUUAUAAUAACAAUGUACGAUUAUGGAAAUAAGAGAAAAUUCAGAGGACUGAAGAUUGGCACACCAUCAAGUGUCAUGCUAGUCACGUGUCAUUUCCCUGAGGCACACAACUGAGGUGUCCUUGAUUAGUGCAUGAAGCCACAGUAUCCUAAACUUAACACGUGGUCCUGGUUAAAUGGAAGGCUUAAGGAACUCGUCCCCAUUUCACUGAGGCAUCUCGGCGCUGUGAUGUAUCAGUUGUUGAAAUUAGGUUGAGAACAUUGCAUAGGGGGUCAUCAAGUGGAUUUCAAUGCAUAGAAUUAUGUAUUUUAUUUUGACUUCUCAAACACUUUUUUCUUCCACCACUUAUCUUCCAAUUAUUUCCCUAUCAAGGUUGCCAUUUACAUGAUAUUUAAAUGAGUGAGGUUUGGCAGUACUUAGAAGUCAAUGGACUUUCAGGUAGUCAGGAAAGAUCUCUUUCUCAAAAGAGUCAAAUCCAUAGCAGCUCUGCCUUUAUGCAAUCUACCUCUCAUUACCAAUGGCAAGAACAUCAUUUUGAAGAG